CAGCCGCCGCGGUAAUACGAAGGGGGCUAGCGUUGUUCGGAAUUACUGGGCGUAAAGCGCACGUAGGCGGAUAUUUAAGUCAGGGGUGAAAUCCCAGAGCUCAACUCUGGAACUGCCUUUGAUACUGGGUAUCUUGAGUAUGGAAGAGGUGAGUGGAAUUCCGAGUGCAGAGGUGAAAUUCGUAGAUAUUCGGAGGAACACCAGUGGCGAAGGCGGCUCACUGGUCCAUUACUGACGCUGAGGUGUGAAAGCGUGGGGAGCAAACAGGAUUAGAUACCCCGGUAGUCCCUGUCUCUUAUAC
rnacentral:rRNA from 1 species